UUCAAGUACUCUGGAAGAAAAGAAAAUACGUAAGUAAAUGGUCAAUUAUUUGGCACAAAUCGGAGUUAAAGACAAAGGAGAUUGUAUAUUUUAUUUGCUAAGAAUAGUUUUUUAAAAUGGCCUAGUUGUGAAAUUAAACUAUGCAGGGAGAGGACAAAAAUUGGAAUAGAAAAAAUGUUGAUUGCAUAUGCUGCUAUUGAAACUGUGAAGUCAAAUAAGCACGGCUUAUGCAGACAUGUGAUAGAGAUAGAGGAAGAAAAA